rnacentral:rRNA from 1 species
UUUUGGACAAUGGGGGAAACCCUGAUCCAGCCAGCCCGCGUGUAUGAUGAAGGCCUUCGGGUUGUAAAGUACUUUUGGCAGAUAAGAAAAGGUAUCCCCUAAUACGGGAUACUGCUGACGGUAUCUGCAGAAUAAGCACCGGCUAACUACGUGCUAGCAGCCGCGGUAAUACUUAGGGUGCAACCGUUAAGCGGAAUUACUGGGCGUAAAUCGAGUGUAGGCGGUUCGGAAAGAAAGAUGUGAAAUCCCAGGGCUCAACCAUGGAACUGCAUUUUUAACUGCCGAGCAAGAGUAUGUCAGAGGGGGGUAGAAUUCCACGUGUAGCAGUGAAAAGCGUAGAUAUGUAGAGGAAUACCGAUGGCGAAGGCAGCCCCCUGGGAUAAUACUGACGCUCAGACACGAAAGCGUGGGGAGCAAACAGG